rnacentral:lncRNA from 1 species
UCCAAUUCAAUAGAGAGUCAGUUUUUAUUCAUUCUUCAAUUAACAAGGGUACAAACAUAUCAGUCAUCAUAAGAACACAUGCAAUUGUUAUCAACGCACUUUCCCACUACAAGAGUAUGAUGUGAACCAUACGAAGUUUCACAUUGACUUUGACAAUUUGCAGGAAUGCAACCACCUGUAGAUAUCCUUGUUGUCGUUCUUUUAGGAGUCUGAACUCUUUUUGGACCUGCUUCACUUGUGAUGAAAAUACCUGAAAUUUCAAAAACAAAGUUACCAUAUGCAAGAAUUAUAAUUUUAGGCAUGCUAACUCUCUUCAAAUUUUAAUUUAAUAUGUCGCAAAACUUUUCAUUUUAUAAAACAAUGUACUCUUAUUAUGUGAUAUAAAAACCAAAGUGUCCCAUCAAUUAUACAAGUAGCAUUGGUGAUUAAAUGAUGAUAAGUUUUGCAAAUCAUACAUAUAUAAAUAUCAAGAAAGUAGAUAUUGUUACACUAUCUAGAAUAAACCUGAAAGCAGAAGGAAAAGGGUGAAAAUAUGCAUUAAAGUAAGCUUAGCCAUCUCCAACAAACACAACACAACGUCAAUAAAAAUGAUUUAAUCCUAAUGUUUCUU